GCCUCACAAAGCCGUUGCCCAUGACGUGGUGGGGCUGGGGGGGUCCCAGGGGAGGUGGGGGGGCCCCAGGGGGGUCCCAGCCUUACGAAGCCGUUGCCCAUGAUGCGGUAAAGCCCCUUGAGCGACUCCAGGUCCUUGUUGGUGAAGUGGAAUUGCACCAUACGGGAAUUGCGGAACAGGGGGCCCAGCGUGGUC